rnacentral:misc_RNA from 1 species
GGAAGAAAGGGCUUCGGCCACUCAAACUACAGAGACGCCAGUCACUCAGAUAUCCUGGU